rnacentral:rRNA from 1 species
CGAUAGCGUAUAUUAAAGUUGUUGCAGUUAAAAAGCUCGUAGUUGGAUUUCGGGUGGGAAUGGCCGGUCCGCCGUUUCGGUGUGCACUUGCUACGCCCACCUUGCUGCCGGGGACGUGCUCUUGAGUUCACGCUCGGGACACGGAGUCGGCGAGGUUACUUUGAGUAAAUUAGAGUGUUCAAAGCAGGCCUACGCUCUGAAUACAUUAGCAUGGAAUAACACGAUAGGACUCUGGCCUAUCUUGUUGGUCUGUAGGACCGGAGUAAUGAUUAAGAGGGACAGUCGGGGGCAUUCGUAUUUCAUUGUCAGAGGUGAAAUUCUUGGAUUUAUGAAAGACGAACUACUGCGAAAGCAUUUGCCAAGGAUGUUUUCAUUAA